GUCUACGGCCAUGCUACCCUGAACAAGCCCGAUCUCCUCUGAUCUCGGAAGCUAAGCAGGGUCAGGCCUGGUUAGUACUUGGAUGGGAGACCACCCAGGAAGACCAGGUGCUGUAGGCG
rnacentral:rRNA from 1 species